rnacentral:rRNA from 1 species
UACGAAGGGGGCUAGCGUUGCUCGGAAUCACUGGGCGUAAAGCGCACGUAGGCGGCUUUCUAAGUCAGGGGUGAAAUCCUGGAGCUCAACUCCAGAACUGCCCUUGAUACUGGAAAGCUUGAGUUCGGGAGAGGUGAGUGGAACUGCGAGUGUAGAGGUGAAAUUCGUAGAUAUUCGCAAGAACACCAGUGGCGAAGGCGGCUCACUGGCCCGAUACUGACGCUGAGGUGCGAAAGCGUGGGGAGCAAACAGGAUUAGAAACCCUAGUAGUCC